CCAAUUUGUUUCUUCCACAUUUCUUCUUCUUUCUUCUUUCCCAUUCCCCUAUUACAGGCCAUUGUCCUAAUGUGGACAUGGAAUUCAGCACCAUCUUCUACAUGUAUGUUGCUUUUCUCCUCAUUGUUCUCUCCAACUCGUUGCUCACAUCCUUCACUUCCGAUCACUAGGAAUAGCCACUCCCUCCCUGUUUCCAUUGGUUGGUCUUACAUUGGAGAAACCUUUUCAAUGUGUUCUCAACACCCAAGCAAUCUUCUUUUUCACACAAAUGAAAAGGGUCAUGUUAAUGCUUUCACUUAUCAACAUAUAAUGCUAUUCCUUUAAAAAAGUUGCUAGCAAGUAGUUCAUUUGAUGCUCCUUUGCUUAUUCAUUGAUAUCUAAAACAGAAAAAUGGUAUGUACUUGGAUUGUUUGGUAAUUUUUUUUGUGUGGUCAUCACAUGAACUAGUUGAGAGAUUGGGGAGGUGCAUGAUGAAAUGGAAAAUGAAAAUUUGAUAUGUAGCCCUUUUUUGUGAGAAAGAAAAUGUUUGGGUCUUGAGAAUACAUUUGAAAGGUUUCUCCUAUGUAAGGCCUACCCAUGAAAUCAGGAGGGAGCAGCUGAUCCUGGUGUUUGCAGGGGAAAGAUUGGAGCAGUUACUUUAAUAGAAUAAUGAAGAGAGAAGUAGCAAAAAAGCAAAACAUGGUGCUUAGGUUCAUUACAAUAUUUAGUGUUCGUGGCUUGUAAUAGGUGAAUAGGGAAGAAAAUGAAGCAAAACUGAUGAUCAGUGAAGUAAAGCUAGCAAAAUUACACUAGUAUAACAGCAAAAACUCCACUCUCUGAAUGCAGAAGAUUCAUGAAGGAAUCUUUGGCAAGGGUGUGAAUCUGGAUGAGAGAAAACCUCAUUUACUUAAGGUUGUUAUUUGAGUUGGCAACUUGGUCCCAUUAAUAUGCUUCACUGAUCUCUAUUAAUUCUCUCCAAAGUCUGCCUCAUGUCUUCCAUCCCAGGAAAGAGUUAAGGAAAGUUCAUCUAAUCUUUGAAUUUCAGUGAAGUAAAGCAAGAGUAUCUUAAGCAUUGAGCAAAACAAGAGUAUUAAGAACCAGGGAGUUGUGGUGUUACUUUCAACAGUGCUUCAUCAGUAACCUCAUUUUCCAAAGGCGGAGAAAGUAUAUUUGGCUUGCAAGAAAACUCGUUUGACAAGAAGAUACUUAUAAUUCUAAUUCUAAUUCAACUUUUUAUUUUCAUCUUGGAAGAAUGAUAGCCAGAACCAAGAAAGUGUUCUAUUAAAAUUGGUAAGAAAUUGGGUAUGCCUGACUAGUAAAACAUCCCAUAGAAGUUCAAAUGUUUACAUUAUACCAAUUUUCACAAAAAAAGAAAGAAAAAGAAAAAGAAAGAGAGGAUAAACUUAUUUAGGGUAUGUUUGGUUUCACAUCAAUCAUGUCUAGAAUCAAUUCUAUAACAUCCAAAAUGACCAGAAUUACAUUUACUAAAUGUUUGGUUAAUAACAAAAUUGAUUUCAAGAUGUGAAAAUUGAUACUCACUUGGAAGCAAAUGUUAGUACUCUCCAUCAAACAAAAUUAAUUUUAGGGUUUUAUUUGUCUAGUUUUAUAAUUACUCACUCAAAAUCAAUUUUAGUAACAAGUUUUUAAACAAUACUUAAUAUGACAAUUAAAUCUAUAUCCUUUGUAGUCCAAACAAAAAUACAUUACUUAUUCCUCACGUUUAAUUAAAAUUUUACAAAUUAACAUCGAUUCAAAAUUAAUAAUAUUGAUACAUAUCCAAACUCACACUUAAUCAAUCGAUUGUCCAAAGGGACAAUGUUGUUAUUUAAAAAUGAGACAUAAUAUUUAACCGCUCAACACAUUUUCUUUCAAGUAAAACAAGUUUAUGUUUUAUGCAAACCUCUUGUAAAUCUGUAAUUUUAUGCAUUACAUAUUAUUCCCUACUUAUAUAUAUUAUUUUAGUCAUUUUAUUAGUAAAAUCCCAACAUAUCUUUUAAAACAAUUUCAAAUUUUAAUAGUUCUGCUUCAUGGAUUUGUCAUAAAAGCAGAUGGGACUGGAACCCAACUUUUUCCAUUCUGUCAUUUUUUUGUCUUUCAUCAAUAAUAACACAACAGAUGUGCUCUGAAUUGAGGACGAAUUUAACA